UUCAUACAUGUCUAAAAGGUUUUCAGUAGA
rnacentral:piRNA from 1 species